UUACGGGGUGGGUGGGUACUGGGUAGGUAGAUAGAGUCUUUUUCUUUUCAACCGUGGUUACUGCUGUUGGCGUUAACCCGGUAUUGGAUCCGGUCCGGUUCAACUUCUAUCUUUUAUCUUUUCCGUUUCUUUUGUAUAAAAAUAGUUUAAAUAUAUCAUUAGUUAGUUUGUUAUAUAUCUAAGUAUCUUUUUUUUGUUAUACUUUUGGGCUAGAUACACUUCUUCCAUCAUAUUUUAUCACAAAUUUACCCUUAAUUUUGAGUUUCAAGCUUAACAUUAAAUGGUAUUUCUUUUUGGAACUCAGGAUAACCUGCAACCACUACAAUCUCUGUCACAGCCUCUGUGGUGAGCACUUUGUGCACACUAGGUAAACCCUCC
rnacentral:lncRNA from 1 species